GCCAGGUGAGGUUAUGCAUGCCUGUCAUCCCAGUGGCUUGGGAGGCUGAGGCAGGAGAAUCGCGAGUUCAAAGCCAGCCUCAGCAACUUACUGAAGCCCUAAGCAACUCAGUGAGACCCUGUCUCUA
rnacentral:sRNA from 1 species